GACCCCCAGAAUAUGUCUUCUGAAAGCUCCAUUGUCAGGAACUUCACUGGGUUUUGGUACAUCUUUUCAUGUCUUGAACAAAAGGAGAGCUGCUGCAUUUACUUCUGUACCUGCUCCUGUGAAGAGCCUACAAAGCAGCAGAUUUCGCGUCAGCGGUUUUUAAGAACGCCGGGAGCGUGCGCAGCAGCGGGCUCGGGAGCCCUGCGGCGGAGCCGUGCGAAGCGUGGCGAGGGCCCUGCGGCGAGAUCUGCUGAGGAACGCGCGCAGUAACAGGGGGCAUCCUGCUCUGCGGAGAGGCACAAGGGAACCUGCUGAAGCAUCGUCCUCUUUUAACAAAGUUUGCUGUCGUGACAGUUUUUCUGAAGCCUCGAGGCCAAGUGACAGCACAGCCAGACAGGGCUGGGAACUUCUUACACAAAGUCCAACCUGAAAGCCAAAGUCAUCCUGAAAGCCUGGUGUGUUAUGGGAACUACUUCCAAAGAAAUUUGUAAUCUGAUGCAACUUUAACAUUCUUUUUGAUUUCAAAAACAAAAAUGGAGAGAAAAAACAAUGUGCAGAUAAAAUCAAGAGAAAUUGUUGCUCAGAGCCGCACCAAGGACAUGUAGGGAAAAGAGAGAUAAAGGAUGCACAAUGCUUUUACAACAGUGGUGUGCCACGUAAAAUCCUGCCUGGAAGACCAAGUUGUGCUCUGGAUUCCUUCUCCUGAACAGAAGAUAGUGAGUGCCAGCUCAUUGCACAGCUGAGAUUAUACUGGUGGGAACAUUUUGUA